UAACAAGGUCUCCGUUGGUGAACCAGCGGAGGGAUCAUUACUGA
rnacentral:rRNA from 3 species